AUAAAAAAUAAAUAAAAAAUAAAAAAAUAAAUAAAAAAUAAAUAAAAAAAAAUAAACAGACGAACGAACAAAUUACACCUGUUUGCUAUAUAUUUUUUUUUCAAUUUAUUUUAUAUGUUUUUAAACUUUUGGCAGGACGAUAAUGGAAGAUUUAAAAACGCAAAGAUUUGUCUUUUAGGAUAUUCUUUAGGAAGUGUUAUGGCUUAUGAAAUUCUACAUAAUAUAAAAGUUCGUAUUAGUGAUAGUAAUAUAAAAUAUAAAUUGAAAAACAAAAUAGAUUAUCUUUUUACGCUUGGUAGUCCAUUAAGUGCAUUAUUAUCAUUAUAUAAACCGGAAUAUAUAAAUAAUGGUUUAAAAUUAAUUGAAAAUAUAAAAUUUUAUAACAUUUUUCAUGGAUUCGAUCCGGUAGCAUUUAGAAUAGAACCUUUAAUUUAUCCUAAAAUAAAAAAUAUACCAGAACCUGUUUUAAUAAAUUAUUGGAGAAAUAAUGGAGUAAGAUAUUGGUUUGAAUGGGAUAAGAAUAUGCAGAAUGCUAAGCUAGCUAUCGUUCAAAAUUUGAAUGAUAUAACAUCGGCUAUAAGCAAUGGCAUAAGUAAAUUUUGGAGCCGACCUAAACCAAGUAAUGAAGAUCAAGGUACAUUAAAUAAAAAUAUAUGUUAUAAUAAAAGUGCGAGUAAAGAUAUAAACAAUUUUUUAAUGAAAGUAAAAGAAAAUCAACGAAAAAUGGCUUUACAAAAAAGAAAAAUGGAAAAAAAUCGAAAAAAAAAAAAAAAAAAAAAAAAAAAAAAAAAAAAAUUACCUUGUAGUAUCAAAAAAAAAAAAAAAAAAAAAAAAUUUAAAGAAAUGUUGUGCUUUUUUAUUUUUUUUUAAGUAAAGGAAAGGUGUUAUAAGAAACGACAGAGGUAGUAUAAACGCAAGCGUAUAUACAUAUAUAUGUACAUAAAUACAUAUAAAUACAUGACACAAAAAAAAAGUGUUAAUUUAUUGAGUUACUAAAAAUUAUACAAUUUUAGUAAUAAGCCAGAGUUUAUUGUCACUACAUUUUUUGUGUUUUCCUCAACCACAUAUUACUUUAUACAUUUUUAUCAUUGAUUUUUAUCAUUGAUUUUUAUUAUUGAUUUUUUUUUUUUUUUUUGCUAAUAUAU
rnacentral:lncRNA from 1 species